GGAGGGGAGAGCUCAGGGGUAGAGUGCAUGCUUAGCAUGCACGAGGUCCUGGGUUCAAUCCCCAGUCCCUCUG
rnacentral:tRNA from 1 species